AAAGCAAGAAAAAGUGCGAUUUUAACUAACCUAAUCAUUAUCAUUGAUAUUUUAACACACUGAUCUUCACAUGGAGUUAACAAACAUAAGAGUUAGUGCCUAAUACAUAUGUCUGGGGUUACUCAAACUUAAUACUUAUACAACCUCCCUAUCAAAAUCCCCUUCAAGAUGUAAAUGAAUUAUUAAAUCCUAAACUCAGGGCAGAAAAAAGAGCCUGGUUUUCUUUUAACAUAGAAUACUUUUUGAGAUAAAUAUAGGAAAGAAAAAAAUGAAACUUGCUAAUACUGAUUCAAGCCUAAACC
rnacentral:lncRNA from 1 species